UAAUACAGAGGGUGCAAGCGUUAAUCGGAAUAACUGGGCGUAAAGGGUGCGUAGGCGGUUACCUAAGUUGGAUGUGAAAGCCCCGGGCUUAACCUGGGAAUUGCAUCCAAGACUGGGUAACUAGAGUAGAAAAGAGGGGGGUGGAAUUUCCGGUGUAGCGGUGAAAUGCGUAGAGAUCGGAAGGAACACCAGUGGCGAAGGCGGCCCCCUGGUUUCAUACUGACGCUGAGGCACGAAAGCGUGGGGAUCAAACAGG
rnacentral:rRNA from 1 species